CCGUCGAGAAAAGGUGUGUGCGCGCGCGUUCGAAACCGCGACCAAAUGUCCAGCCCAGCAGGCACGACUGUGGAAGGAAUUAGAAGCAUAGCAAAAUAGCACAAAAAAUAAAAGAAACCAAAACACGAACGCUAAUCACCGCCAAACGGCACUCUAAGUGCAGGAGUAGAAGGUGAAUCAAAAAAAAAAACGUAACCAGGUGCUACAAAUUGUUCCUCCUCGUUUGCGCCAGGCUUGCGAACCGUGCAUGUGCGUGCUUGAGCGAGUGUAAGUGCGGUGCUAGCAAGAAGCAACAGUGUCGCCAAAGUGUAAGUGUUCAAAAAGCAAAAAAAAAUAGUAAUAAUUUCCCUCGCUUCGAGAGGCGC